AUUAUCGGUCGAAUACGAUGCUAUAAAUCGCUUUUUCGGUAACGUUACGUCACUCGAUACGAAGGCAGGCACGAUGAACCGGUGUAAGAGUCGUAAUCGCGAGGCCUGCAGCGUCCGGAAGAAUUAUUUGACGGGCAAAUCGCUGGAAGAAGGAUCAUUUUUCGAAGAGAACGUCGCGCGGAAAGAUACGCGACGAUAGCGAAUCGAUAAGUAUAGCGGGCCACGAUAUGCUCGCGUUCAAUCGAUGGACGAUUGAACGCAAUUCUAUGGGCUGGGAGUGGCGAAUGUAACUCUUUCCGAACGGAAAAGGCGCAUCCUGUGCUCUGUCAGCUGACAGUUGACAAUGAUACCGGGUCCACGAAUGACCACGAGCACGCUCAUCCGCACCCACGCAUUUUUUGGCGGUUACGAAAUCGUUGACUAGAUCUUAAGAUAGAAAGUAAAACUAGCACACCUUCUAUCCAACGUUUGAAUUUAAUCGUUUGAAUUUAUGUUUUCUACGUUUGAUUAACAACGAUCCGAUGCGUACCUAAAUAGGCAUCAUAAGGUACACCCCAUGAAAACGCAGGGAAAAGAAGAAUAGGGAAGUGACACAUGGAAAAGGAGGGAAUAGUUUGAACGCCACGAUGAACCCUACGGGCGUAAAUCAGACACGAUGCCUGUGACAUGAUUGAGAUGAAUCGCUUCUCGAUAGCUGUGGCAUUCUUCGGAUCUGAGAAGAAAAAGGUGGUUCUAUUUUGGAUGGCAUCGGUAAUAAACAAUGAUAUAUAAGGGGUAUAAAAGUUACAUGUAC